GAGACACUGAAUGUCAGUUAGCAAAUAUUCCACGCACCCACGCCUCCAGGCUUCGGUAGAUUUUCAAGGCAGUGGGUGAGCCACUGUCUUGCCAGGACUCCCACUGACUCAAGGUCUUUCACUGCAACUACAACAUCCCUGUCACCUGGGGCAGGCUGGUCCCUGCACUUUGUGAAUGCAGAAACUGAGCAUGGCGAUCUUGGAGGCGUGCGGCAUCAUCUCCCUUCAAGAGAGAAUCUGUUUAGCUGUAAGGAGUGCACCAAACUUAAUUGGAAAGAUAAAAGCACAGAAAGCCUGGGAGAAGAAACACAUCCUACUUGUGUUGAUAAAGGCAGCGUGGAUGGAGGAGAUGAUCUUUGAGUUGAGGCUCCAGGUCGUUCUUCACACACCUGUGAAAUGGCAGUGCUUACAUUCUUGCCUCCACUUUGCCCCAGAACAGAGCUUAGCACAUUCUUUAUUCCGUAUGGCUGAUCCCUUGGGGGACAGCGCAGAGUGGUGACUUCUUCCACCAGCCUCUUUGCAAGAUACAUCCAUGACUGAUGGCAGUAAUAAAUGCCCUGGAUUAUUUCCUAGACCAUCUUCUCCUUAUCUGGAAAGAGUACACAACAGCAGGAGCCCCAUGAAGUGGAUGCAGCAAGGACUCCUAGAAAUAAGGGUACAAGAGUGAAAUUCUACUUCCACUCCCCAUCUUCCCAGGCCAUAUAUCCACAGGCCAGCUGCUUUCCUCUAAGGACCUCAGUCUCUUCAUCUGCAAGGUGGAGAUGGCACAGUAUUUGUUCUUCACGUACACCAGUGGGUUACUUUUCAUUUGCACUUACUUUCUAUUGACUGAGAAAAUCCUAAAUAAUCAACGAAUUUC
rnacentral:lncRNA from 1 species